rnacentral:rRNA from 1 species
GCCAGCGAUUAGGUCGGGAACUCAAAGGAGACUGCCAGUGAUAAACUGGAGGAAGGUGGGGAUGACGUCAAGUCAUCAUGGCCCUUACGACCAGGGCUACACACGUGCUACAAUGGCGCAUACAAAGAGAAGCGACCUCGCGAGAGCAAGCGGACCUCAUAAAGUGCGUCGUAGUCCGGAUUGGAGUCUGCAACUCGACUCCAUGAAGUCGGAAUCGCUAGUAAUCGUGGAUCAGAAUGCCACGGUGAAUACGUUCCCGGGCCUUGUACACACCGCCCGUCACACCAUGGGAGUGGGUUGCAAAAGAAGUAGGUAGCUUAACCUUCGGGAGGGCGCUUACCACUUUGUGAUUCAUGACUGGGGUGAAGUCGUAACAAGGUAACCGUAGGGGAACCUGCGGUUGGAUCACCUCCUUA